CACGAGGUGCGCGCCACGACGGCGUUCAUCCACGCGCGCUACUUCCACAAGGGACUCGACCCAGCCGCCCUACUGCAGUGCAAGGCCCCCAUCAUGUUGGAGAUCCAGGCAGAGCAGGUCGUGACGCCAGCUAUGAUCGCCACGGCACAGACCCAAGUGUACCGCGUCAUGGAGGAGACGUGGUUCAAGAUUUAUCUCGACAGCUUCCCUGAAAGGUCAUCAACCGUUGCGCAGCCAGGGGCA